GACGAACGCUGGCGGCGUGCUUAACACAUGCAAGUCGAACGGAAAGGCACUGCUUUUGUGGGGUGCUCGAGUGGCGAACGGGUGAGUAACACGUGAGUAACCUGCCCUUGACUUUGGGAUAACUUCAGGAAACUGGGGCUAAUACCGGAUAGGAGCUCCUGCUGCAUGGUGGGGGUUGGAAAGUUUCGGCGGUUGGGGAUGGACUCGCGGCUUAUCAGCUUGUUGGUGGGGUAGUGGCUUACCAAGGCUUUGACGGGUAGCCGGCCUGAGAGGGUGACUGGCCACAUUGGGACUGAGAUACGGCCCAGACUCCUACGGGAGGCAGCAGUGGGGAAUAUUGCACAAUGGGCGGAAGCCUGAUGCAGCAACGCCGCGUGCGGGAUGACGGCCUUCGGGUUGUAAACCGCUUUCGCCUGUGACGAAGCGUGAGUGACGGUAAUGGGUAAAGAAGCACCGGCUAACUACGUG
rnacentral:rRNA from 1 species